UACAGAGGAUGCAAGCGUUAUCCGGAAUUAUUGGGCGUAAAGAGCUUGUAGGCGGUUUGUCGCGUCUGCUGUGAAAAUCCGGGGCUCAACCCCGGACUUGCAGUGGGUACGGGCAGACUAGAGUGUGGUAGGGGAGACUGGAAUUCCUGGUGUAGCGGUGAAUGCGCAGAUAUCAGGAGGAACACCAGUGGCGAAGGCAGGCUCUGG
rnacentral:rRNA from 1 species